GCAAGGAAUUUUGUGCAAUGGGCGAAAGCCUGACACAGCAACGCCGCGUGAGGGAUGAAGGCCUUCGGGUUGUAAACUGCUUUUGUACGGAACGAAAAGCCUCUGGUUAAUACCCGGGGGUCAUGACGGUACCGUAAGAAUAAGCACCGGCUAACUACGUGCCAGCAGCCGCGGUAAUACGUAGGGUGCGAGCGUUAAUCGGAAUUACUGGGCGUAAAGCGUGCGCAGGCGGUGAUGUAAGACAGUUGUGAAAUCCCCGGGCUCAACCUGGGAACUGCAUCUGUGACUGCAUUGCUGGAGUGCGGCAGAGGGGGAUGGAAUUCCGCGUGUAGCAGUGAAAUGCGUAGAUAUGCGGAGGAACACCGAUGGCGAAGGCAAUCCCCUGGGCCUGCACUGACGCUCAUGCACGAAAGCGUGGGGAGCAAACAGGAUUAGAUACCCCAGUAGUCC
rnacentral:rRNA from 1 species